CAGCUGUGCAAGAAACGCUUUCUCUCGCUGAGAGAAGUCGUUUUCUGCAGAGACAUGAAAAUGUUGUUUCUCCUGCAAUAAAGGCCUCCCUGCUAUCAUUCAGGCUUAUUCGUGGUGGGAGGUGACUGCUCUCAUGCAGUACAGCUGAAUAUUGAGUGUGGGCUGGAUGCCCGUUAGUAUUUUUACCAUCUGUGCAAGAAACGCUUUCUCUCGCUCAGAGAAGUCGUUUUCUGCACAGAGUGUCACAAAGUGUCAGACUAGUGGAACUGAGCUCACAUUGUGACUUAUUGUGCUGAAUGUGACGAAAAGCACCUCCUAGUGACUUGUUAUGCUCAGAAUGACUGUUUCAGGCGCCCGGUUGCUCCAGAACACAGGGGCCCCACCGUGCGCCUGUUAGGCCGAGAAAGGCGCAC